rnacentral:rRNA from 1 species
AAUCUAUGAUGAUUCCCUUAGUAACGGCGAGUGAACAGGGAAAAGCCCAAAUUUGUAAUCUGGCACUUUUUACAAGUGUCCGAGUUGUAAUUUGUAGAGCUGUUAUCCGUGCUGGACCAUGUACAAGUCUGUUGAAAAGCAGCAUCAUUGAAGGUGAAAAUCCUGUAGAUGAUAUGGACUACCAGUACUUUUGUGAUACGGUUUCUAAGAGUCGAGUUGUUUGGGAAUGCAGCUCAAAGUGGGUGGUAAAUUCCAUCUAAGGCUAAAUAUAAGUGAGAGACCGAUAGCAAACAAGUACCGUGAGGGAAAGAUGAAAAGAACUUUGAAAAUAGAGUUAACAGUACGUGAAAUUGCUGAAAGGGAAACGUUUGAAGUUAGUUUUGUAUUCGUUGGAUCAGCUUCGCAAGGAGUGUAUUCUGAUGAUAAGCAAGUCAACAUCAAUCUAUGAGUGCUGGAGAAGGGUUUUGAGAAUGUAGCAAUUUAAUUGUGUUAUAGCUUGAGACUUGGAUACAGUGCUUUGGAUUGAGGAACGCGUAGUAAGC